GAUGAACGCUGGCGGCGUGCCUAAUACAUGCAAGUCGAGCGAACGGACGAGAAGCUUGCUUCUCUGAUGUUAGCGGCGGACGGGUGAGUAACACGUGGAUAACCUACCUAUAAGACUGGGAUAACUUCGGGAAACCGGAGCUAAUACCGGAUGAUAUUUUGAACCGCAUGGUUCAAAAGUGAAAGACGGUCUUGGUGUCACUUAUAGAUGGAUCCGCGCUGCAUUAGCUAGUUGGUAAGGUAACGGCUUACCAAGGCAACGAUGCAUAGCCGACCUGAGAGGGUGAUCGGCCACACUGGAACUGAGACACGGUCCAGACUCCUACGGGUGGCAGCAGUAGGGAAUCUUCCGCAAUGGGCGAAAGCCUGACGGAGCAACGCCGCGUGAGUGAUGAAGGUCUUCGGAUCGUAAAACUCUGUUAUUAGGGAAGAACAUAUGUGUAAGUAACUGUGCACAUCUUGACGGUACCUAAUCAGAAAGCCACGGCUAACUACGUG
rnacentral:rRNA from 1 species